UUUUAUCGAUAAUAUUUACUUCAGGGAUACUUUUGACGUUAUUUAGCGAUUCUCACAUAGCGGUCUUGGUUUGAAAUCCCUUUUGAAACGUGAAAUCAUAAACAAGUUGGUUGAAGUAGUAAUACCAUUUUCUGAUGAGAAUUCUAAGUCGUAUGUGUACGGUUAUUUUGCUUUUCUAGUAUACGCAGGGUUAUUUUGUACUGUCUGGUAUAAGUAUAUACCUUGGGAUCCAUAUAUAAAACUUGUUGAUUUAGCUCCACCAUCACUGGAUGUAUUUAACACCUAUCAUGCCGAUGUCGUGGGUUAUAAGCAGGUCACAUACCUGAUUACUAAGGACAUUGUCCAAACAAACUAUGGUAGACACCUUUAAACAGCCAUCAUUUAACGAAGUAGUAAAUUCGAAUGACUACAACCUUGAUCAAUCUAAUCACAAAGUGAGUUUUUCAUGCUUAUGCACUGGUAUCAUGGUUUCUAUGUUGUUAGUAACAAAAACACUUCUUCCACAUUAAAUAGUACUGCAUAGAUACAAGUUUAGCACAAUGAAUUUCUGAGUUAUUUCACAAAGGAAUUUACAAGCUAAUGAAAAUCAAUAGAUUUAUAGGAUAUCUAUCUAAAUACGGCUCCUAUCGUUUAAGGUUAGUAAAUACAUACUAGGAAAUGCUCUUCAGGGAUACCAGAACUGGAAGAUCCUGUCAAGGGGAAACAGGACCUUAAUAAGCGCCAUCCCGAGACUUGGACUCGAGGGAUGGUAAUAUCAAUAGGAGAAGGAGAUAUGAUACAAUUACUAUGAUCAUGAUACCUUAUAUGGGCCAUACUUAUCCAGGGAAUCAAUUGUGUGAGGGUGUUGUUGAUAGAGGGAGCUCUGGCCAGGAGAGGCUAGAGCGAGUGAUAGCAACGGAAAGGUAAGAUCAAGAAGGAAACAAGGCUUAAGAGGACCCUAAUGCACCAAUACUUUAGGCAUUCCAACUUCCAAUACAUACUUAUCACGGAAUGAAAUCCAAGAGGAGCAAGCAUAUCACUGAGAAUAGCUAGCUAAAAUCAAGGAUGCUAUCACAAUAUUCAAUGGAAUCGUUACAUCAGAAUAAGAUAGACCCGCUUCGAUGAUGUAUUCAGUAUGUCAGCUAGGAGCCAGAACUCACUAUGCCAUAGUCAUACAAUCAACCUGUGUAUUAACAGCAAUAUCUAAACAGGCAGGAUGGAUUAAUUAUAUUGAUGGCCAAGAUAAGGUGCUCAAAGGGGAAGCACUCUUCAUCAAGUAAUGACCCCUGGGGGCGGGUACUGCAAAAAGAAAGCAACGCAUAAGCUCUUGUUCCUGACACGGUUCAAAAGUAGUGCAAAGAAAAGCGGUACUUCGGUCAGAAAGAAAGCUGCUGGAGGGUUAGUGCUAAAAUCUUCUUGUUCGGAUGGUUGAGAGAAGGAGGUGUGUCCUGUGGCAGAUACACCAAUUGAUCGAGACGCCUCAAGGCCACCGGAGGGAGAAAUAGUGAUAGCAACGCUUACAAGGAAUGCUGGAAUAAGUUGGGAAGAAGGCAAAGAUACUGGCGACUAGAUCCUUGUGGCAGAUUGGAAGAUACCGAUAUCUCUAUUUCAAUUUGUUGAUUGAUGGUUUAAGGAAAUGGCAGUGGUCCAAAUCUUGCACAUUUACUGUUACUUCUAUGUAUAAGUUCCUUGCUCAGGUGUGGCCCAGCUUUCAUAUCUUAUUGGGAUAGCUACAUUGCCCUGGCCGGGUAUUGCGAAGGAAGGAAACACCUUGUCCGAGUCAGGCGAUGCUAAAGGAUGGAUUAAAAAACUCAUGGAUGCUAUCUUUGUUAUUGCUUCUUAAUGCCCUAUUUAUACCGAUCUAGCUUAUAGCUGGGAUUUCUAGAAAGAUAAGCUGAUGCAGCCCUCAGGGAUGGAGUGCCUAAACUAACCUUCCUGAACAGAAGUAGCAGAGGUAGAAGAUAUGUAAAUCAUACCAUCAAGGGGAAAUGCACUAUUGUUAUGCUUGGGCCAGGUUAGCUGAUCAAGGGAAUAUUCCUAUCGGAAGAACAAUCAGAAAAUAAGGAGAUAGUCAGGUGGCACUUUUCACACAAGAGCCGCUUUUCGUAUUAAGCACGGGAGUCGUAAGGAAAGACCUCUGCGUAGCUAUCAAAACGAAUUAAUGAACGAAAUAAACGAAUUCCGAUGAAACCAAGGCAAAUUUCUGAGCCAGCGGUGGGAAAAAGAUGCCAAGUAUUGAGAUGCAACAUUAUGAAUGGUGCGAUCCGAAGUCUUACUAUUUACUCAAAAUUGACUCAAAUGGUUGACUGAACUUCACAGAUGACUAAAGCCGGGAACUUAAACUAAUGGUUUUGCCUUUCCACUUCCCAAUUGACUCUCAUAAAAGGCUAGGCUACCUCUUCACAUUGCACCUGAUCCCAAAUCAUGUGCUCUAUUCAGGGGAUCAAUAGUGGCUAUUAAGCUUUUCCCUUUCUAUAUAUUCUUGAGAAUAAGUAAAUACCAACCUUUUUCCUAUCAGCAUCUCUCUAUCUGACAGUAAAUAUUGCUUUCAAUCGAUCAGGUACUAGGUUAUCAAAGUAUGGAUAUGCCACACAAUAAGGGAAAAGGCCUCAAUUUUUUUUUAGCGCAAAAGAAAAGUCGAUUCCAAAUUUUCUAUUUCCCGGCAAGUCUAUGAGAGUCCUAUUACGGAUCCUCUGAUCUUUAGCUUGAAUGGUCGUGUUUUUAUAUAAUUAGGUCUUUCUUCUGAGCUCUUCUAUUACGGUACGGAAAAAUCAAACCUAUCACUCUCAAAGAAUGGGUAAAAAGAAUUCAAGCUAGGGGAGCCUACACUCUCUAACUACCUAUACUACGCCCCAUUGAUUGGAAACCCUCGGGGAAAAUGAUCCCAUAAACAAAGGAAUUAUACAGUAUGAAAUAGCAAAAAAUAGACUAAUUCGAUUCUAAAAAAAUCGAUAAUAGAUAUUUUAUUCUGCUCAAAUUGUCCCGACAAGGAGAGAUAUUCAAUAUUUGAAUCAGAUUGGAUUUUGUAGUAUACCAAUGUGAGCCAAACUAUUACUAUUUCAUCUAACUUGAAUAACCAAGGACUAAAUUUAACUAUAGAUUCUGAUAACUCGAGAAGUUUUUAUUUGGUUAUUAUCCAAAAAGAAAAAAGAAAGGUUUAACAAGCCAUGAGAAAAUAGAGUAAAGUAACCAUAUGUUCUGUUUGCAUAACGUGUAUACGCCACGCCAUACAAUCAAAAUAGAAACAUGGGACGAUUCCAGAAUUUUGAAUAGAUCUGUGGGGAUGAGAGAAGUUGUUGUUGAGAAAUAUGAAAUUGGAAAGGAAGUCAAACUCCCUAUGGAACAUGUGAUCGGUUGUACCUGUACUUUAGUGAUACGAAAACUCGCUAUUCACUCAGUUUCUGGUCAAUAAUAAGAUUAUGUAGGAGAGAUGGCCGAGUGGUUCAAGGCGUAGCAUUGGAACUGCUAUGUAGGCUUUCGUUUACCGAGGGUUCGAAUCCCUCUCUUUCUGUUUCUGUUAAUUCACCAACGUUACCGACCACAAUGAAAUUUCUAGUAAGAGGAAAAUCCGUCAACUUCCUAAAUCGUGAGGGUCAAGUCCCUCUAUCCUGUAGCGACCCGACCUCAGACGGUCAAGUCUCUGUGCUUAAGUGUCAUCCCUGGAUCAGUAUGCUGACACACACAGUACUCGAGGAUUUAUAACAGAGGUAAAUCACAUGUAUAAAAUAACGUAAAUACUAUUACCUCAAUCCAAAUAGCGGAAGUAACAAGGUUGUGGAUUCCCAUCAACACCAACGGCAAAGCUGAGUAUAGGAAUCGUAACCCUAACGUAUCACUUACUCUUCGUAAAAUCCUGCAACAUGAGACGUUGCAGCCACAAAGGGUCAGUACAUUGAAUGUACUGGCAAAUUCACACCAUAGAGCAAUGAUGAAUAAAGGCUAUCACUCCAUGCAUAUUUGGCUGGUGGAGGCUCUAUGGUUACAGUUUUGCGUAAAGCCAAUUUUUCCCUACUACAAAGGAAUAUAUUUUAUUUAACUACAAAGUUGGUUGAUAAAAUAUUGAGAAGGUAAACCCCCUCUCAAUCCCAAAUUAAAGUCAUUAACAACCCAACAAUAUUAAUUAAGAGUGUUGAGAUACAUGUGAAUACUCAAGUACUAGAUACUCAAAUUUGUCUAUAACCGGGGACACGGCUAACCAUGAUUAGUUUGUACACUCUGCAGAGGUUUGCGCACUUUUCCCCACAAGACUCGAUCGCCUCCGUUGAAUUUCUCGCACUACAUGGUGUUUGAGAAACGGAUAACCGAGACACAGUCUUUCAGAAACAUUAACUCUCUACUCCGGGUUGACCAUACCAAACCUACAAAACCCACUACCUGCUGAUCUACCUCUUCAAGAGCUUCACGUAACUUACUCAACUAUGCUAGAGCCCAUAAUAGCUUGUGGCUGCACACGGAAGUUUCUAGCAUGAAUAAUCUCAGUUCCCUUUCAGCCUGGGUGGCGGUCCAUAGGAAAAUCACACGGUAACCCCGGGAUUUCCAAAAAAACAGGCAAUCACUGGAUACCCCAGGUGCCUCAAUCCACGCAGAUGUGUAUUUAAGUUGCCACCUUAAGUAAACCAUUAAUUACAAUCUCACAUCUGUCAUGGAAACACUCAAACCCAAUCCACGUCUACGAGCAUAGCAUGGCAAUAUAAGCAACGCGUAGAAAUAACUCCCGAGGGUUUGAUAUGAAACAGGGCAAUAGGUUCUACCUCAACAGCUACUUCCCAAUACCCACAUGUUAUCAACCUACUCAUGCAAUGUUUGAGGGUGAAACUAAUGCAUAAAAACUGGGUAAUAAAGAGGUAUGAUCAAAGUGUGAACUUGCCUGCAAUGUUGAUGAAGAUGAAUCACACUCAAAACUCUUGAUAGUUCUACUCGUCACACUCUGGUCAAUCUAUCGUAAGCAAGCAAUAGAAACCACACAUAAGCAAUCACUCAAAAGAUCGGGAAGAACGAAGAAGACAGUUCGGAAAAUGUCAAAACCAAGCAAAUAAAUCUUGCAACAUAAAACAAUUUCUAACAGUACCAAAAUUAUGUGAAUUUGGCCUUCUCAGAAAGUUUAGGUCAAGAGCUUCGAAUAGCAAAAAGAAUCAGUUCAAACGGAGCUUCGGAACUCAAGUUAUGAUCAAACGAAGUUCAAAUUCAAAUCUGAUCUAAUUCAAAUUUUAAACUUUCAAAAACAUGUUUGAGUUGGAUUACUGGAUACAGGGAAUCAUAACAAAGAAGUGGGCGUUGGUUUCGUCUAAUUCCGACUAACGAGUAAAAAGUGAUCGUUUUAAGAAUAGGGACUAAUCUGUAAAAUAAAACAACUACAACUAGGUCCCUGGCGUAAAAUAAACAGAAAACGAAUAGAAUAAAUAACGAACGCUCGUUUAUAAGAUCUAAAUAGUGGACGUUCGCUGUUUAAUAAAACAAAAAAAUAGAUCUAGUCUAGGGUUUAAAAAAACCAAACUUAAAAUAAAACCGGAUCGGACGGCGGUUAUACCGGUUCGCAGUGGUUUGGCGGUUUUCGAGAGAAAACCGGCGGCGGCGCGGUUGAACUUCGGCGAGUCUGGCGAGCGGCGGCGGAUGGCUCCGGCGAGCGGCGACGGGCAGAGACAGCGGCGAGCGCGGCGCGGGGCAGCGAAGUCGGAGGUGGCGGCGGUGAUGGCUCCGGCUGACGCAUGCGGCGGCGGCGGCAAAUUGCGGCGGCGGCGGCGGUGAGAUCCGGCGGCGGUGGCGCUUUGCGAGGAGAGGCGAGGCAAGGAGAGAGAGAGAGAGACGGGGCCCGGGGCGGCUUUAUAGGGGGAGGGGCGGCCUCGGGAGGCGUGGAGAAGGGGCAAGGGGAGGCAUGCCCGACCGGGACUCGGCGGCGGCGGCGGAGUCGGCCACGUCCCGAGCUCGGUGACGGAGGCGGUUGGCGAGCUGGGCUGGGCCUGGCUGAGGAGCUUGGCCGGCCCAGUCGGCAGGAGGAUUUUUUUAAAUAAAAAACAGACAAAGAAUUAAAACAAAAGGGAUAAGUACAAAAUAUAAUAUAGGCAUAUUAUAUAUCAAAAAUUUCAAAAAAAGAUUUUCUACAACGUGGACAUUUUUAUAGCGUCAAAUAAAAAUCACACUAAUUUAAAUAAAGCAAAGAGUGCUUCUGCCCUAGUAAAAUCCAGUAAGAACCAUUUUAAAAAAUACCAAAAUUAAUUCAAAUUUAUUUCUCUCCAAUUUUAUGAUGUAGGGAAUCAUGUUACCCUAUUUUCCAUAUAUUUUAUUUUUGGAGAAAAAUAAUUUGAAUAAAACUCAAAUAACCCCAAAUUUGAAAAGAAAUUCAAAAGAACUUUGAAUUUAAUUCUUUGAAACUCCCAACUCAUAUUUCAUAUGUAUUGAAGAAGUCAUUUUAUCUUCUCUCAUGAAAAUCAUUGAGUUGCAUAAAGUUUCAGAAUUGGAAAUAUUUUCCAAAUGAAAUUCAAGUAUUUUCAACACCCCUUGUCAUUUAAAUAAAUGGAAGAAGUCAUGUCAUCUUCUCUCUAGGGUUUUGUGAUGAAAAGAACUUGAAUUCACAAAGAUCAUAAAAGCAAAAAUGAAAGUUUGGGAAAGUCCUUUUAUUCCCUCUCAUUUUAACUUUCAAAAGUUUCGAAUUCACUCACUUUCAGUCAAUCAAUCAAACAAUCAAUCAAAACUAUCUAUUUGUUUAUAACAUUCCAAAAUUUAGAAUUUUGGGAUGUUACAAACCUACCACCCUUAAAAUGAAUCUCGUCCUCGACAUUCGGAGAGGCUAGCAAGAAAUAGGUUAGGGUAGGGGGUCUUCAGAAUCCAUCGAUCGUCUCCGGGGUCUCGGGUGCUACCACCCUUAGAAGCAUUGUUACGGUUCCAUCAAAACUCAUAUACUCCAUCCUUAUUGUUGACAGUGUUGGUCUUCUCAGAUCGUAAGGACAAUUCCUUCUCUGGGUCUUCCGGUAGUGGCAUAACCUUUUCCUCAACUCUCUGUCCUUUCCUCUUGGUAAUGUUAUUCCGAGAUUGGGUCUUCUUAGCUGACGGGUCUGGCGCCAAUACUAACUAACUAUCGAUAUCUCAUGGUGGUUAACAAUUUAGGGUUUCUCCUGCAGGAAAUGGGUCUGGUUGAUCCUCACCGUAUAUCCUACGGUUGGCAAAAGCGGCCUUGUACAAGGGAAAAAAUACUUAUACCAUUCUAAGGUUCAAACAAGGUUUUGAUCGUCGUCUCUCUACGAUGGGUAAGUCACUCAGAUUUACCAUCCCAUAUAGCAAGGCGAAUAAUAAGAGUAAUUCGGUAUGGUGAUCAAUCCAUCCCGCACCCAAAUCAUUAUCUUGUAUAUGGUUUAGCAAAUCUCGCAUUCUAACACUCGGUCAUCCUCACAAGCAUUGCAGAAUUUCUCUUGUCGACGAACCAAGUUCGGCUAAAUCCAUUGUUUCUGCAAGCCAAACAAACAUCUAUUGGUCCUUCACAACUCUCAGGUUUUGCGUAAACUCCUAUAGGAUCGUCUGUGGGUAAGGUCGUAAUCUCUUCCAGGGUUUUUCCUUCAGCAGGAGUGUGCUAGAUUCUUGGCAGGUCCUGGGGCCUGUGGGUUAUGGCCCAUCUCAUCACUUGUAAACCUUGAACUCAUCCUUUGGGCAACUGAUCGUUAUUCCAACUUCGACUUCCAGCUUCCUAGCAUACUUGAAAUCCAUCCAAUUGUAAUGUCUUCCUUCCUUCUAUUUGUACCAAAUUAAGACGUGAUUACUCAAACUCAUCAUGGAAUUUCCAUUGAUCCAUAUUUCCAACAUCAUAUCCAAUAGUAAUUCAUCUCUUCAUCCUCGUGGGAUGUCCCACAUACCGAGAUAAAAAAACUUAUACUUAUGAAGUCCAUACUCCACUUCAUGGAACAUCAUUAUCCUUCGGGUCAAGCGUCCUCACAGGGGAAUAUUGGCCAUCUCUGCAUGGCACUUCUUCAACUGGGAAACGUGAAACACAUCAUGAACUCCUGAUAGUCCUUCGGGUGACUCCAACUUGUUGGCCACUUCUCCCAUACACUCCAAACUCAGUAUGGUCCUACAAAUCUCGGGGCUAACUUUCCCUUAACUUCAAAUCGUUUAACUCCUCGCAGAGGGGACACACGAAGACAUGCUCUGUCUCCAAUUUCAUAGACUACCUCCUUGCGUUUUUGAGUCUGCAUAACUCUUCUGCCUGGACUGAGCUACCUUCAGUCUAUCUCGAAUCAACUUAACAUUCUUUUCUGACUCCUUGAUCACAUUUGGUCCAAACAACUGACGGUCUCCAACUUCAUCCCAAAUCAACGGUGUCUGGCUCCUUCUCCCAUACAAAGCUUCAAAAGGGGCCAUCUUCAAACUGACUCGGUAGUUGUUGUUGUAUGAGAACUCCGCGUAAGGUAGAUUAUCAUCCCUACUAGAUCCAUAACCUAGCGCACACCCUCUCAACAUGUCCUCCAGAAUCUGAUUGACUCUCUCGGUCUAUCCAUCUGUCUGCGGAUGAAAGGCCGUAGUGAACUCUAGCCUAGUACCCAAAGUCUGGUGCAGCUGAUUCCAAAACUUUGAGUUAAACUGUGUUCCUCUACCUGAUACGAUGGUCCUCGGAACUCCAUGCAGACAUACGAUCCUGGUCAAAUAUAUCUUGGCCAACUUCGCACUUGUAUAGGUGGUUUUCACUGGGACAAAGUGAGCCACUUUGGUCAAGCGAAUCAACUACUACCCAGAUAGAAUCAUAUCCCGAUCGGUUUCUAGGAAAUCCGGUAAAAUCCAUGCCAAGCUUAUCCCACUUCCAUUCGGGUGUCAGCAUAGGCUGUAGUAGUCCGGCUGGCUUAUGAUGCUCAGCCUUUACUCUCUGGCAUACAUCACUUAUGACUACAUACUCCGCAAUAUCCUUCUUCUUACCGAUCCACCAGAAACACUCCUUCUAAUCCAAAUACAUCUUGGUGUUUCCAGGGCGAAUCGAGUAUGGUGAGUCAUGAGCCUCCUGAAGUAUUUACUUCCUGAUCUUUGCAUUAUUGGGCACAUAUACACGGUCCUCGAACCAUAAGGUGCCAUGCUCAUCCUUACGAAAACUUUUGGCCUUUCCUUUGCUCAUCCUCUCUUUUACUUUAGCAAUCUCUUUGUCAUCCUUCUGAGCUUCACGUAUCUUUCUCAGCAAUGUAGACUGAACUUCCAUUGCUACAACAAAACCUUUGGGAACAAUCUCCAACCGAAGUUCCCUGAGAUCCUCCAUGUUCGGAAUCCAUUGGUCCGUCUCCAAUUGACUCAUCGGUCCAGAUAAUAUGGGCUUAUCUCCAUUUCAUCCUCUAUUGGGUCCAUGGGUUUGGGGUGGGAUAAGAGAGAUCGAGAGGGAUGCACACAAUACUAACAAAAGUUUUGAAAAGGCAGAUUUUAUUGUGGCUGUCGGAAAAACAACAAACAAAAGACAGCUCACAAUCGUCGCAUCUAACGUAAGUAUAUAACAGGGGUUUGGUCUACUAAAUGUCUAUAGAUCUCAACAUCAUCAAACUCUUCAAGUCUUGGUCAUGUCUCCGAUGGCUCCUUCUGAUCAUGCUUGUCCUUCUCAAGUUCUUUUGCCAAAUCAUCUCUGUUGACGCGAAGUCUCUCAUGACAUCCUUUAAUAUUUCUGGGGUUGCAUUCCAAACUUCUAUGUUUCAACAUCCUUGGCAUGAACCAUGUCCUUCAAUCCUUCAGCUCCUGACUAAUCUCCGGUAUCUCAAGGUUUUGCUCCUCCAGCUUGGCUACUUUCAUCUUCUAGGUCUUGAGUUCUUCACGAACUGCUUCCUUGUCAAAUAUGGCAUUCCUGCAGAUCCACCCUAAACUUCUUGAUGUAAUACUCCAGAUCCUAGUGAUACACCAGCUAAGGUUAAAACUUGAUCUCUUGCUGGUAGGUGCUUCAUUAGCCCUUUUGUCAACCAAUUCUUCCGAAAGAUGCAUGCUUAACACCUCACGGUGACAAUAACAUGAGUGAGCGAUAGCAUCAUGGAUAUCCAUGUUUCUGCUCUUGUCAUUUCCAUGAGCUAUCAUUCCAUAGUUGUUAUCUCCUGCCUUAGGGUUUUCUUGACAAAACUUUGAGUUCUAAUGCUCUUUGUUCCAGUCUUUCUCCAAUACACCUUGAUCUCGGGUAUUGACAGCUUCCUAGUCUGUCAAGUUCCAUAAGUAUAGCCUUCCUUGAUCAUACCGAAUCUAGAAAUUCUUCAAAGCCUUCAAAGUCUCCUAGUCUUCGAAGUCUUCAACAGUUGUAGUUUCCAUUAUCAUAAUGUAUGGUAAAAUCCUCUUCAUUCUGAAUGGUCUUAGUUGUCCAAUAUCUUGUACUCCUUGGAGUGGUCUCAUCAUUCGAAUCUUCGAGGGGUCAAAAGGCGAAAGUGGUAUGGUCUCACUAAAAGGGAAUAUUUGAAUAAGCUCAUAAGAGAAGAGACGUAAAAGAUUCUUUUGAAAAGAAAGUUGUAGAGAAAAAUCUUUCCUAUGGGCUUGCCAGUUUCUAGGGUCACGUCCUACAGUCAACAUGUGCUCCGAUACCAUCUUGUAGCGACCCGACCUCACACGGUCAAGUCUCUGUGCUUAAGUGUCAUCCCUAGAUCGGUAUGCUGACACACACAGUACUCGAGGAUUUAUAACAAAGGUAAAUCACAUGUAUAAAAUAACGUAAAUACUAUUACCUCAAUCCAAAUAGCGAAAGUAACAAGGUUGUGGAUUCCCAUCAACACCAACGGCAAAGCUGAGUAUAGGAAUCGUAACCCUAAUGUAUCACUUACUCGUCGUAAAAUCCUGCAACAUGAGACGUUGCAGCCACAAAGGGUCAGUACAUUGAAUGUACUGGCAAAUUCACACCAUAGAGCAAUGAUGAAUAAAGGAUAUCACUACAUGGAUAGUUGGCUGGUGGAGGCUCUAUGGUUACAGUUUUGCGUAAAGCCAAUUUUUCCCUACUACAAAGGAAUAUAUUUUAUUUAACUACAAAGUUGGUUGAUAAAAUAUUGAGAAGGUAAACCCCCUCUCAAUCCCAAAUUAAAGUCAUUAACAACCCAACAAUAUUAAUUAAGAGUGUUGAGAUACAUGUGAAUACUCAAGUACUAGAUACUCAAAUUUGUCCAUAACCGGGGACACGACUAACCAUGAUUAGUUUGUACACUCUGCAGAGGUUUGCGCACUUUUCCCCACAAGACUCGAUCGCCUCCGUUGAAUUUCUCGCACUACAUGGUGUUUGAGAAACGGAUGACCGAGACACAGUCUUUCAGAAACAUUAACUCUCUACUCCGGGUAGACCAUACCAAACCUACAAAACCCACUACCUGCUGAUCUACCUCUUCAAGAGCUUCACGUAACUUACUCUCAACUAUGUUAGAGCCCAUAAUAGCUUGUGGCUGCACACGGAAGUUUCUAGCAUGAAUAAUCUCAGUUCCCUUUGAGCCUGGGUGGCGGUCCAUAGGAAAAUCACACGGUAACCCCGGGAUUUCCAAAAAAACAGGCAAUCACUAGAUACCCCAGGUGCCUCAAUCCACCCAGAUGUGUAUUUAAGUUGCCACCUUAAGUAAACCAUUAAUUACAAUCUCACAUCUGUCAUGGAAACACUCAAACCCAAUCCACGUCUACGAGCAUAGCAUGGCAAUAUAAGCAACGCGUAGAAAUAACUCCCAAGGGUUUGAUAUGAAACAGGGCAAUAGGUUCUACCUCAAUAGCUACUUCCCAAUACCCACAUGUUAUCAACCUACUCAUGCAAUGUUUGAGGGUGAAACUAAUGCAUAAAAACUGGGUAAUAAAGAGGUAUGAUCAAAGUGUGAACUUGCCUGCAAUGUUGAUGAAGAUGAAUCGCACUCAAAACUCUUGAUAGUUCUACUCGUCACACUCCGGUCAAUCUAUCGUAAGCAAGCAAUAGUAACCACACAUAAGCAAUCACUCGGAAGAUCGGGAAGAACGAAGAAGACAGUUCGGAAAACAUCAAAACCAAGCAAAUAACUCUUGCAACAUAAAACAAUUUCUAACAGUACCAAAAUUAUGUGAAUUUGGCCUUAUCAGAAAGUUUAGGUCAAGAGCUUCGAAUAGCAAAAAGAAUCAGUUCAAACGAAGCUACGGAACUCAAGUUAUGAUCAAACGAAGUUCAAAUUCAGAUCUGAUCUAAUUCAAAUUUUAACUUUCAAAAACAUGUUUGAGUUGGAUUACUGGAUACAGGGAAUCAUAACAAAGAAGUGGGCGUUGGUUUCGUCUAAUUCCGACUAACGAGUAAAAAGUAGUGAUCGUUUUAAGAAUACGGACUAAUUUGUAAAAUAAAACAACUACAACUAGGUCCCUGGCGUAAAAUAAACAGAAAACGAAUAGACUAAAUAACGAAUGCUCGUUUAUAAGAUCUAAAUAGUGGACAUUCGUUGUUUAAUAAAACAAACAAAAACAGAUCUAGUCUAGGGUUUUAAAAAAACCGAACUUAAAAUAAAACCGGAUUGGACGGCGGUUAUACCGGUUCGCAGUGGUUUGGCGGUUUUUGAGAGAAAACCGGCGGCAGCGCGGUUGAACUUNNNNNNNNNNNNNNNNNNNNNNNNNNNNNNNNNNNNNNNNNNNNNNNNNNNNNNNNNNNNNNNNNNNNNNNNNNNNNNNNNNNNNNNNNNNNNNNNNNNNNNNNNNNNNNNNNNNNNNNNNNNNNNNNNNNNNNNNNNNNNNNNNNNNNNNNNNNNNNNNNNNNNNNNNNNNNNNNNNNNNNNNNNNNNNNNNNNNNNNNNNNNNNNNNNNNNNNNNNNNNNNNNNNNNNNNNNNNNNNNNNNNNNNNNNNNNNNNNNNNNNNNNNNNNNNNNNNNNNNNNNNNNNNNNNNNNNNNNNNNNNNNNNNNNNNNNNNNNNNNNNNNNNNNNNNNNNNNNNNNNNNNNNNNNNNNNNNNNNNNNNNNNNNNNNNNNNNNNNNNNNNNNNNNNNNNNNNNNNNNNNNNNNNNNNNNNNNNNNNNNNNNNNNNNNNNNNNNNNNNNNNNNNNNNNNNNNNNNNNNNNNNNNNNCGAGAUCCGACGGCGGCGGCGCUUUGCGAGGAGAGGCGAGUGUGACGCUGCCGAUUCAAUUGUACACUAAUCAUGCACGCAAAUGUGUACGAUCAAGAUCAGGGACUCGCGGGAAGAUAUCACAACACAACUCUAAAACAUAAAUAAGUCAUACAAGCAUCAUAACACAAGCCAGGGACCUCGAGGGCUCGAAUACAAGUGCUCGAUCAUAGACGAGUCAGCGGGAGCAACAAUAUCUGAGUACAGACAUAAGUUAAACAAGUUUGCCUUAAGAAGGCAAGCACAAACUGGGAUACAGAUCGAAAGAGGCGCAGGCCUCCUGCCUGGGAUCCUCCUAACUACUCCUGGUCGUCGUCAGCGGGCUGCACAUAGUAGCAGGCACCUCCGGUUUAGUAGGGGUCGUCGUCGAUGGUGGCGUCUGGCUCCUGGACUCCAGCAUCUGGUUGCGACAACCAGAAAGAAAGGAAAGGGGGAAAAAGGGGGAGAAAGCAACCGUGAGUACUCAUCCAAAGUACUCGCAAGCAAGGAACUACACUACAUAUGCAUGGGUAUAUGUGUAAGGAGGCCAUAUCAGUGGAUUGAACUGCAGAAUGCCAGAAUAAGAGGGGGACAGCUAGUCCUAUCAAAGACUACGCUUCUGGUAGCCUCCGUCUUGCAGCAUGUAGAAGAGAGUAGAUUGAAGUCCUCCAAGUAGCAUCUCCAAGUAGCAUCUCCAGUAGCAUCGCAUAGCAUAAUCCUACCCGGCGAUCCUCCCCUCGUCGCCCUGUGGAAAAGCGAUCACCGGGUUAUCUGUGGAACUUGGAAGGGUGUGUUUUAUUAAGUAUCCGGUUCUAGUUGUCAAAAGGUCAAGGUACAACUCCAAGUCGUCCUGUUACCGAAGAUCACGGCUAUUCGAAUAGAUUAACUUCCCUGCAGGGGUGCACCACAUAACCCAACACGCUCGAUCCCAUUUGGCCGGACACACUUUCCUGGGUCAUGCCCGGCCUCGGAAGAUCAACACGUCGCAGCCCCACCUAGGCACAACAAAGAGGUCAGCCCGCCGGUCUAAAUCCUAUGCGCGCAGGGGUCUAGGCCCAUCGCCCAUUGCACACCUGCACGUUGCGAGGGUGGCCGGAAGCAGACCUAGCCUCUCUUAUACAAGAGUAGGCGUUCCAGUCCAAUCCGGCGCGCGCCGCUCUGUCGCUGACGUCACGAAGGCUUCGGCUGAUACCACGACGCCGGGAUACCCAUAACUACUCCCGCGUAGAUGGUUAGUGCGUAUAGACCAAAUGGCCAGACUCAGAUCAAAUACCAAGAUCUCGUUAAGCAUGUUAAGUAUCCGCGAACGCCGAACAGGGCCAGGCCCACCUGUCUCCUAGGUGGUCUCAACCUACCCUGUUGCUCCGCCACAAAGUAACAGUCGGGGGCCGUCGGGAACCCAGGCCCACCUCUACCGGGAUGGAGCCACCUGUCCUUUCAGCCCCCUUAUCCGAAUCACUUGCGGGUACUCAACGAGCUGACCCGACUUUAGUCACCAUCUGUAUAGUAUGUAUGUAUAGUAUAUACCCGUGAUCACCUCCCAAGUGAUCACGGCCCGAUAGUAUAGCAAGGCAGACUGACAAGAAUGUAGGGUCAAUAAUGAUAAACUAGCAUCCUAUACUAAGUAUUUAGGAUUGCAGGUAAGGUAUCAACAGAUGUAGCAACAAUGUCAGGCUAUGCAUCAAAAUAGGAUUAACGGAAAGCAGUAACAUGCUACACUACUCUAAUGCAAGCAGUAGAGAGAAGAAUAGGCGAUAUCUGGUGAUCAAGGGGGGGCUUGCCUGGUUGCUCUGGCAAGGAGGGGUCGUCAACUCCGUAGUCGAACUGGGCAGCAGCAGCGUCGGGGUCUACCGGAAAGAAGUAACGAAGGGGGAGCACAAUAAAUAACAGAGCAAUCAAAGCAUCACAAAGCGUAACAAGACAAUACGCGGUGUUCGGUGUGCCCUAACGCGGUAGUAGGUGAUACCGAUGAGGGGGGAAACAUCCGGGAAAGUAUCCCCGGUGUUUCGCAUUUUCGGGCAGAUGAACCAGAGGGGAAAAGUUACGUGUUUGAUAUGUUAGGGGUGCGUGGCGGACGAACGGGCUGCGUAUCCGGGUUCGUCUCGUAGUUCUGAGCAACUUUCAUGUUGAAAAUAUUUUAAUCCGAGUUACGGAUUAAAAGAUAUGAUUUUCUAAAGAUUUUAUUAAUUUCUGGAAUUUAAUUAAUUAUUUAAGUAAUUCGAAAAUGAUUUAAUGACAUCAGCAUGAUGUCAUGCUGACAUCAGCAGUCAACAGAGUUGACUGGUCAACCUGACUUGUGGGUCCCAUUCGUCAUUGACUGAUUAGUCUAAUAGGGUUUAAUUAAAUUAACUAGUGAUUAGAUUAAUUUAAUCAGGAUUAAUUAAGUUAAUUAAUUCUUUAAUUUAAUAUUUUAAUUUUUAUUAUUUAUUUAUUAUUUUCUUUUACAUUUUCUGUUAAAACGUUCUAUGCGCUGGGCCCCUCUGGUCAGUGGCAUAGAGGCCCUAGCGGGUUAGCGGGCAGGGGCGUGCGGGUGGNNNNNNNNNNNNNNNNNNNNNNNNNNNNNNNNNNNNNNNNNNNNNNNNNNNNNNNNNNNNNNNNNNNNNNNNNNNNNNNNNNNNNNNNNNNNNNNNNNNNNNNNNNNNNNNNNNNNNNNNNNNNNNNNNNNNNNNNNNNNNNNNNNNNNNNNNNNNNNNNNNNNNNNNNNNNNNNNNNNNNNNNNNNNNNNNNNNNNNNNNNNNNNNNNNNNNNNNNNNNNNNNNNNNNNNNNNNNNNNNNNNNNNNNNNNNNNNNNNNNNNNNNNNNNNNNNNNNNNNNNNNNNNNNNNNNNNNNNNNNNNNNNNNNNNNNNNNACCGGCGACUGCGUAUGGCAGCGGCGAAGGGAGGGAGUGGAGCGGGGGCCAACGCCUCGUAGGCGGGUGUAGAUGGUCGCGGUGGCCGACGGGGUGGCCACGGGCGUUCCUGAGCAAAGGGGGCGAGUGAAUGGAGCCCCAGGAGCGCCGGGCCCGGGCGGCGCCGUGGGGCAGCAGCAGGUCGACGAGGAGCAGCUGGGGUGAGCGGGCUCGUGGACGACGAGGGCUCGCGAGGCGCGCGUGGGGUGCAGGCGCAGCUUUGGCGCGACAGGACUGCAACGCGGCCCAUGUGGGCACGAGCGGCCGCAGCAGCAAAGGAAAGGGGCGGCGGCCAGAGCCAGCAGGCCAGGGAAGGCCCCCGAGAUGCGGGGCUGCACGUCUCGGCACGGCAAGGGACGCGGCCAAGGGCGGGAGCGCGACGACGAGCGUCGGUGACAAUGGCAAACAAGCUAGGGGAGGGGAGGCCGGAGCACGGGGCGAGGGAGAGAGAGGAGGGGCACAGAGGCCGUGGCCUCACCAGAGUCGUAGGGUCUGGGCAGCGGUGGUCGAGGGGGGUGACGGGGACGGCGUCGGCGGAGCGGGUGCAGGCCGGUGGGGAAGGGCGCCAGCGAGGUAGAGGAGGCAGGCCGGCGAGAUGGCGCGGGCUCCGGGCGGCGGCGUCCUGGCGUGGGGCGGCGAGGUCGUCGCGGCGAUGGGCGAUGGGAUCGGGGGUUUGCCCCGAUCCAGAUCCAGUCGAGGGAGUGGGGGAAGAGUGGGUGAGUGAACCACUAGCGUUUGCGGUUGCGAGGGGAUAAGGGAAUGAGUGGGGGGGCGGGCCAAGUGGGCCGGCUAAGCGGCCAGGUUAGCCCCGUGGCCAGCUAGGCCGAGGCCCAGCGAGGGGGGGGGCUUUUUUUUAAUUAUUAUUAUUCUUUUCUAUUUUAUUUUAGUUACUCUUUAUUUUUGGUUUAGUAAAAGAUGACAAUAGCUCCAAAAAUAUUGUGUCAAAAUAAUCCACUGUUCUAAGAAGUUUUACCUCAGAAUAAAAAUAGUUUAGUAUUUGGUAAAAUAUAUUAGGAGUAUAACUAAUUGCUUUGAUGUUGUUUUAAUCACUUUAGGGUAGUUAAUUAUUUUAUAAAGAUGUUGUUACUCCACCAAUAAUAUCCAUGAUUUAUUUGUCACAUUAAGAACAUUUUAGUUUUGACUUUUGAAAACUUUAAUUGUUUGACUUGAUUUUAAAUUUGAAUUUUGAACCGGUUUCGAACUAACGCAAGAUUAGUAACAUUAAUCAAGGUGACGUGGCAUCAUUAGCAGAGGUUCACUGUAGCUUGAUUACCCGGGCGUCACAGCGAGGCGAGGAGAGAGAGAGACGGGGCCCGGGGCGGCUUUAUAGGGGGAGGGGCGGCCUCGGGAGGGGUGGAGAAGGUGCAAGGGGAGGCGUGCCCGACCGGGACUCGGCGGCGGCGGCACAGUCGGCCACGUCCCGAGCUCGGUGACGGAGGCGGUUGGCGAGCUGGGCUGGGCCUGGCUGAGGAGCUGGGCCGGCCCAGUCGGCGGGAGGAUUUAAAAAAAACAGACAAAGAAUUAAAACAAAAGGGAUAAAUACAAAAUAUAAUAUAGGCAUAUUAUAUAUCAAAAUUUUCAAAAAAAGAUUUUCUACAACGUGGACAUUUUUAUAGCAUCAAAUAUAUAAAACCUGUCUGGUAUAAGUAUAUACCUUGGGAUCCAUAUAUAAAACCUGUUGAUUUAGCUCCACCAUCACUGGAUGUAUUUAACACCUAUCAUGCCGA
rnacentral:lncRNA from 1 species